UCGGACGGUGGCGCGGGCUGUGCCGUGGUUGCAGCGGGUGGCGGCUCGCCGGAGCUCAACAGGCUCCGCGAUCUCGAGGCCAAGCCCCAGGUUGACGCCCUUUUCUCUCUUUGCCGGGAGGUCGAAUUUCUGACGUCAUACUGCUGAACCCAUCGAUGUAAGCGUGUUGCGUUGUCAUGCACAGAAGCUGGUGCUGGAUGGAGGGGUUGCAAACGGGGAAGAGUACAUGGAGACGCAGUACUAGGAUGGGGUCAACUGCAUCGACAAGCAGCAUCACACGGUAAGAUUAGAUUGGAGCCCUUGAUGUUUUUUGUGCGAUUAUGUAGUUUGUAGACGCGACUUGUUUAUCUGCAGGCAUUUCAUGUCUACUGCUGUGUUCUCUAAGUAUGAUUUGUGCUCCAGGACGCCUUAUGGAAUCAACUAGUAACCUCUCACUGCGAGCUUGAGCUUUAGUUCAUAGUAAUAGCGUGUAAACUGUUGAUUGUAGACACAAAUGCUAGAUCUAGAGCAGGUCCAUCAUUGAGUUCUGCUAGAAUUGGCUGGCUAACACAAGCACUGGAGUAAGCUAGAUCAAGUAAGCCCAAUGCCAUUGCAAAGAGGUGUAACUUGGAAAAAAAAAUCACC
rnacentral:lncRNA from 1 species